rfam:Mesocricetus auratus contig182089, whole genome shotgun sequence.
GGAGAGAUGGCUCAGUGGUUAAGAGCACUGACUGCUCUCUGGAAGGACCUGGGUUCAAUUCCCAGCUCCC